rnacentral:rRNA from 1 species
GCCCACAAUAACACACAAACAUACACCAUAGAAAAACAAAACAUUUGACUAACCCAGUAGAUGAGAUCGAACAGUAAAUAUAACCAGUACCGCAAGGGAAAUUAAUAAGCAAUAAACAGCAAAGAUUAACCCUUGUACCUUUG